rnacentral:lncRNA from 1 species
UCCACCAUAUGUAUACAUGAAAAUAAAAAAUUAUAUUUAGGAAUACAUUUAUGCCAUAUCUAUAUUUGAUAUAUUUUUGCAUAAAAAAUAUAUUUAAAAAUACAUGGCCAUGUGGUAUGAUUUCUACAAUCAUUUUUUUUUAGUUAUUUAUUUAUUUACUGCUUCUUUUGUUUAAAAGUUAAACAUGAUCGUAGCCAUCAAUUGAGAAGAUC